rnacentral:rRNA from 1 species
UCAAAUCAGGUAGGACUACCCGCUGAACUUA